rnacentral:rRNA from 1 species
UGGGGGAAUAUUGGGCAAUGGGCGAAAGCCUGACCCAGCAACGCCGCGUGAGGGAAGAAGGUUUUUCGGAUUGUAAACCUCUGUCCUUGGGGACGAAGGAAGUGACGGUACCCAAGGAGGAAGCCCCGGCUAACUACGUGCCAGCAGCCGCGGUAAUACGUAGGGGGCAAGCGUUAUCCGGAAUUAUUGGGCGUAAAGAGUGCGUAGGUGGUAACCUAAGCAGGGGGUGAAAGGCAAAGGCUUAACCAUUGUCAGCCCCCUGAACUGGGCUACUUGAGUGCAGGAGAGGAAAGCGGAAUUCCUAGUGUAGCGGUGAAAUGCGUAGAUAUUAGGAGGAACACCAGUGGCGAAGGCGGCUUUCUGGACUGUUACUGACACUGAGGCACGAAAGUGUGGGGAGCAAACAGGAUUAGAUACCCUGGUAGU